rnacentral:rRNA from 1 species
AGUGAACGCUGGCGGUAGGCCUAACACAUGCAAGUCGAACGGCAGCACAGUAAUAGCUUGCUCUUAUGGCUGGCGAGUGGCGGAUGGGUGAUGAAUACAUCGGAAUUUACUUUGUCGUAGGGGAUAACGUAGGGACACUUACGCUAUUACCCCUAACGACCUACGGGUGAAACCAGGGGACCUUCGGCCCUUGCGUGAUUGAAUGAGCCGAUGUCGGGUUAGUUAGUUGGCGGGGUAAAGGCCCAACAAGGCGACGCUCCGUUGCUGGUCUGAGGGGCUGAUCAGCCACACUGGAACUGGACCACGGUCCAGACUCCUACGGGAGGCAGCAGUGGGGAAUAUUGAACAAGGGGGGCAAGCCGGAUCCAGCAAGCCCGCGUGGGGGAAGAAGGCCUUCGGGUGGUAAAGCCCUUUUGUGGGGAAAAAAAAGCAGCAGGUUAAUAUCCCGCUGAGCUGACGGUACCCGAAGAAUAAGCACCGGCUAACUUCGUG